rnacentral:pre_miRNA from 1 species
UAAAAAAUGGUGAAAUUGGCUUGCAGCAUAUGCUGUGGUCUGGAAAGAGUUAACUCUUUCUGGACCGCAGCAUAUGCUGCAAGCCAAUUUCACUAUUUUUUAA